rnacentral:rRNA from 1 species
AUGAACGCUGGCGGCGUGCCUCAUCCAUGCAAGUCGCGCGAACGGACGAGAAGCUUGCUUCUCUGAUGUUAGCGGCGGACGGGUGAGUAACACGUGGAUAACCUACCUAUAAGACUGGGAUAACUUCGGGAAACCGGAGCUAAUACCGGAUAAUAUUUUGAACCGCAUGGUUCAAAAGUGAAAGACGGUCUUGCUGUCACUUAUAGAUGGAUCCGCGCUGCAUUAGCUAGUUGGUAAGGUAACGGCUUACCAAGGCAACGAUGCAUAGCCGACCUGAGAGGGUGGUCGGCCACACUGGAACUGAGACACGGUCCAGACUCCUACGGGAGGCAGCAGUAGGGAAUCUUCCGCAAUGGGCGAAAGCCUGACGGAGCAACGCCGCGUGAGUGAUGAAGGUCUUCGGAUCGUAAAACUCUGUUAUUAGGGAAGAACAUAUGUGUAAGUAACUGUGCACAUCUUGACGGUACCUAAUCAGAAAGCCACGGCUAACUACGUG